UGCGUAGGCUGCGCGGUAAGUUGGGUGUGAAAGCCCUCAGCUCAACUGAGGAAUUGCACUCAAAACUACCGUGCUCGAGGGAGACAGAGGUAAGCGGAACUCAAGGUGGAGCGGUGAAAUGCGUUGAUAUCUUGAGGAACACCGGUGGCGAAGGCGGCUUACUGGGUCUUUUCUGACGCUGAGGCACGAAAGCCAAGGUAGCAAACG
rnacentral:rRNA from 1 species